GACAGAGGGUGCAAACGUUGUUCGGAAUUACUGGGCGUAAAGCGCGUGUAGGCGGCCAAGUGUGUCGGAUGUGAAAUCCCCGCAGCUCAACUGUGGAAGUGCAUUCGAAACUGCUUGGCUGGAGUUUCGGAGAGGAAGGCGGAAUGCUUGGUGUAGAGGUGAAAUUCGUAGAUAUCAAGCAGAACACCUGUGGCGAAGGCGGCCUUCUGGACGAUGACUGACGCUGAGACGCGAAAGCGUGGGUAGCAAACAGG
rnacentral:rRNA from 1 species